UAUACACUUUUUAAUUCCAAAGCACUGAAUCAUUUCAUGACAGUUUGUAUUAUAUCAGCCAGUGAAAUUAUUGUGUGUGGGGUUAUCAAAUCUUCGUAACAGCUUUCAGUUUUGUGUUUUUCUUUCGUUGUUUUUGAUGCAUGAAGACUUUCACAGACAGAUGAAUGAUCGCAGGGAGAAGAGUAAAAUUGUGGUCUCAACUGUUUAACAUGCCUUUAGAGGGGUUGCAGUUACGCUGGUACUAGCAUUUGCGUGGUGUGAUGAUUUUUAUCGGGUGCCAAAUUGAAGGCCUAUUUAAGUACAAUCAAUACUUGGGAUAGCCCUUCAGCUAUCUGAUUUAUACUGUAGUUAUCAUUGUCCGCACCUAAUUGACCACCAUCUCAAAAUCUAUUAUAUGAACAAAGAGUAUUUCAAAGAAAUACUGUUUACAUAAUGCAAAAUCCAAAGGCACAUUUUUAGUUUUUGUUUUUUUGGGGUUUUUUUCAGGGUUCUGCUUGAUUGUCCAACCAGUCAAAAGAUUACAUCUGGAUUGCUAUCAUGGAAACACUUAAUUGAUUUUCAAGGAUGACAAAUGACACACAAAGCCCCAGUGCCAAGGAUUCUCCAAAUUGGUCCUAUCGAAUGUGACAGGAGGAAGAGCAUUAAGCAUCUGACAAGAUGAUAUCUAAGUUCAAUUUCCUACUCCUCACCUGAUUUAUACCUGCAGCAGAUCAUUUUCCUUUCUGUCAUAAAGACCUCUAUAAAUCAGUGGUGCUUAUGGAAGCACUACAGAACAGGGUCCCUGGAUUUGUUUCCCCUGUGUUUGCUAUUAGGAAGCCAUUACAGCCACAUUUUCCUCCUUCAAACAAAAAUGAUCAAAUCUAAUACUGGCAAGAUUAGAGAGAUAAAGAGAGAAAGGGCUGGCAGAGCCGUUCAACACAGUCCCCUAUCUAAACAAUAUGCUCUAAACUCAAUAAAAACAGGGCUUUUUGCUGGUGACACCAUUAUCCAUCUGUUUGGACAAAAUUGCUGUAUCAUGGUAUAAAUCUGCGAUACAAGUGACAUAUCCUCUAAAAUAAAAGGGAACAUUAACUGCUCUAUCUUCUAGAGGCCAUGGGACUAGCUGGCUAUAAGCUCAGUCAAGUGUGAUGGCAGUUAUACUGUGUUUUACUAGACUGCAGACAAUUAUACUUUGCUCCUAUCCCCUAAGAAGACAAACUGCCUUGGCUUCAACUGAAAUGAUUUCAAAUAGAUUUUCCAAAAUGUCUGUCGCCAGAUUGCUUCCAUACAUUAUUUCACUUAAAUGGAGAGAAAAAAAGAGGGAGCAAAUCCACAAAUCAAUCACAAAAGCCCACUUUACCAGAUGGAAAGACGGCUUUCAGUGCAUGUGUGUGUGUGUUUGUGUGAGUGGGUGUCUUGUGGACCCACAGAGAAGGACAGUUAUAGGAUGUGCAGUCCUGUCUCUGUUAUGUCUCACUCAUACUGAAGGAUAACAUAGUGUAUCUGUUUCCAGUGUUGAGCUGGCAGUGCUGUGAGAGUGAAAUAAUGUGCCCUAUAAUGAACUGACCCGCCUGAACUUUUAGAUUCUUAAACAAUUACUUAAUUGAAUUACCAAUCAUGUGUAAUCCAAUAGGAAAAAAAAACCCCUUUAAUGCAGUUAUCUCACACAUGACAGACAACUCACUGUUCACUGAGGAAGGUACUUGGUAUCCCAAUUUGUCUUUCAUAGUACUAAGCUUAUGCUACAGAAAAUAUAAAGGUUCUGUUUUUUAAGAGCAAUGUGUAAGAAAUGUAGACUUAUAUAUUGACAACAAUACUCAACGCAAACUUAAAUUGCUGCAUGAUCAAUGUAGAGCAAGCUCAACAUUCAGUUUAGCUUUAUUUGUACAAUUACAAGUGCACUUAGGAGACAAAAACGCUUAGUCUCAGCCAAUAGGAAAACUGGAUUUCAGCUCGGUGGCCCGUACACCCAAUCAGAGCACGACUUUCGAGGUGAAAGUCAAUAGUGUUAGCAUUAGCAACAAGUUUUUAGCUGUUAGGGAUUUAUGUUAUGUCAACAUUACAGAAUGCUGAAAGACAUAGCAUUUGAAAAAAUUUUCUAGUCGGGAAAAAAUGUAGCUCUGUUUUAAAAUUCCUAUCACUACUUUGCUAACAAUAGCAUAAGGAGCGAAAUGAGCUAACCUUUGGAGCAGCUCUUCAAAGACUGACAGGAGCAUUGUCAUCUUGGAUGAUACCACUCCAAUCAAGAUAGAAAUCAUUCAUCCCAGGAUAAAGACGAUCCAUGAAAACAACUUUCUAUUGAUUUGCAGUGCCUCUUUUCUCAACAAGGGAGGAUGAUUUUCAGAGCACAUCCUGUAAAAGCACCAGAAUAAAAGCAGCGUAUUAUGGAAAAGGGAAACUGAUUUCGAGUAAGUCACC